CUCGGGCCUUGUACACACCGCCCGUCGCACCACGAAAGUUGGCAAUACCCGAAGCCGGUGGCCUAACCCGCAAGGGAGGGAGCCGUCGAAGGUAGGGUCGAUGAUUGGGGUG
rnacentral:rRNA from 1 species